GGAGGAGCUGGGGCUGGGCGGGGCCACGGCCGUGGGAAUGAUCCAGAACCUUCUGGAAUGGCUGCACCUGGAGCUGGGGCUGCCCUGCUGGGGGGCCAUCGCCGCAGGCACGGUGGGGGCCCGCCUCCUCCUGCUGCCCCUGGUGCUGCGGGGCCAGCGCGAGGCCGCCCGCCUCUCCCGCCACCUCCCCCAGCUCCAGCGCCUCUCCCAGCGCCUGGCCGAGGCGCGCCGCGGCGCCGACGCCAACCAGGUGGCCGUGGCUUACUCGGAGCUGGUGUCGUACCAGCGGCGCCACGACGUGAAUCCGCUCCGGGGUUUCCUGGUGCCCCUCGUGCAGACCCCCCUUUUUGUCUCUUUUUUCCUGGCCCUGCAGGGGAUGGCGGCGGCGCCGGUGCCGUGGUUCCUGCAGGGGGGGAUGGCUUGGUUCCCCAAUUUGGCGGCCCCCGACCCCCUGUACGUGCUGCCCGUGCUGGUCACAGCCUCCACCUGGCUCGUCCUGGAGCUGGGGGCCGAGACGGGCGUGGCCGCGCCGGGGGCGGGGCCUGUCCGUCAAAUCCUGAGGUUCCUCCCCCUCGUCUUCCUGCCCUUCAUCAUCCACUUCCCCACCGUGAGUCGGGGGCGGGGCUUCCUCAAAAGGGGGCGUGGCCAUUGAAAAAUGGGGCGAGGUCGCUUUAAAAGGGGGUGUGGCCUCUUUAAAUGGGGUCCUGUCCCUUUUAGCGUGGGCGUGGUCGCUUUAAAAGGGCGUGGCCAUUUCAAAAUGGGGCGUGGCCACUUUAAAAGGGGCGUGGCCACUUUAAAAGGGGGCGUGGCCACAUUAAAUGUUGGCGGGGUCACUUUAAGAGGGGCGUGUCCUCCCUUAAAAGCGGCGUGGCCAUUCUAAAUGAGCCUGUGGUCCCUUUAAAAAGGGGCGUGGCCGCUUUCAAAUGGGGUGU
rnacentral:lncRNA from 1 species